CGGAGUGUAGGAUAACGGUAGUCCGCAUCCUUGGGGUGGAUGUAGUCCGGGUUCAAUUCCCGGCACUCCGACAA
rnacentral:tRNA from 1 species